GAGUUUGAUCCUGGCUCAGGAUGAACGCUGGCGGCGUGCUUAACACAUGCAAGUCGAACGAACCUUCGGGUUAGUGGCGGACGGGUGAGUAACGCGUGGGAAUCUGCCCUCAGGAGGGGGAUAACGGUUGGAAACGACCGCUAAUACCCCAUAUGCCGAGAGGUGAAAUGAAUUUCGCCUGAGGAUGAGCCCGCGUCUGAUUAGCUUGUUGGUGAGGUAAUGGCUCACCAAGGCAUCGAUCAGUAGCUGGUCUGAGAGGAUGAUCAGCCACACUGGGACUGAGACACGGCCCAGACUCCUACGGGAGGCAGCAGUGGGGAAUUUUCCGCAAUGGACGAAAGUCUGACGGAGCAACGCCGCGUGAGGGACGAAGGCCUCUGGGCUGUAAACCUCUUUUCUCAAGGAAGAAGAUAUGACGGUACUUGAGGAAUAAGCCACGGCUAAUUCCGUGCCAGCAGCCGCGGUAAUACGGGAGUGGCAAGCGUUAUCCGGAAUUAUUGGGCGUAAAGCGUCCGCAGGCGGCCUUUCAAGUCUGCUGUUAAAACGUGGAGCUUAACUCCAUCAUGGCAGUGGAAACUGAUUGGCUUGAGUAUGGUAGGGGUAGAGGGAAUUCCCGGUGUAGCGGUGAAAUGCGUAGAUAUCGGGAAGAACACCAGUGGCGAAGGCGUUCUACUGGGCCAUUACUGACGCUCAUGGACGAAAGCCAGGGGAGCGAAAGGGAUUAGAUACCCCUGUAGUCCUGGCCGUAACGAUGAACACUAGGUGUCGGGGGAAUCGACCCCUUCGGUGUCGUAGCUAACGCGUUAAGUGUUCCGCCUGGGGGGUACGCACGCAAGUGUGAAACUCAAAGGAAUUGACGGGGGCCCGCACAAGCGGUGGAGUAUGUGGUUUAAUUCGAUGCAACGCGAAGAACCUUACCAGGGCUUGACAUCCUGCGAACCUUUAAGAAAUUAGAGGGUGCCUUCGGGAACGCAGUGACAGGUGGUGCAUGGCUGUCGUCAGCUCGUGUCGUGAGAUGUUGGGUUAAGUCCCGCAACGAGCGCAACCCACGUUUUUAGUUGCCAGCAUUUAGUUGGGCACUCUAGAAAGACCGCCGGUGAUAAACCGGAGGAAGGUGUGGAUGACGUCAAGUCAUCAUGCCCCUUACGUCCUGGGCUACACACGUACUACAAUGCUACGGACAAAGGGCAGCAAACUCGCGAGAGCUAGCAAAUCCCAUAAACCGUGGCUCAGUUCAGAUCGUAGGCCGCAACUCGCCUACGUGAAGUAGGAAUCGCUAGUAAUCGCAGGUCAGCAUACUGCGGUGAAUACGUUCCCGGGCCUUGUACACACCGCCCGUCACACCAUGGAAGUUGGCCACGCCCGAAGUCGUUACUUUAACCCUUGUGGAGAAGGACGCCGAAGGUGGGGCUGAUGACUGGGGUGAAGUCGUAACAAGGUAACC
rnacentral:rRNA from 1 species